rnacentral:rRNA from 1 species
GCGGUGGAGCAUGUGGUUUAAUCGAAGCAACGCGAAGAACCUUACCAGGUCUUGACAUCCCUGACAACCCGAGAGAUCGGGCGUUCCCCUUCGGGGGGACAGGGUGACAGGUGGUGCAUGGUUGUCGUCAGCUCGUGUCGUGAGAUGUUGGGUUAAGUCCCGCAACGAGCGCAACCCUCGCCUUUAGUUGCCAGCAUUCGGUUGGGCACUCUAGAGGGACUGCCGGCGACAAGUCGGAGGAAGUGGGAUGACGUCAAAUCAUCAUGCCCCUUAUGACCUGGGCUACACACGUGCUACAAUGGGCGGUACAAAGGGCUGCGAACCCGCGAGGGGGAGCGAAUCCCAAAAAGCCGCUCUCAGUUCGGAUUGCAGGCUGCAACUCGCCUGCAUGAAGCCGGAAUCGCUAGUAAUCGCGGAUCAGCAUGCCGCGGUGAAUACGUUCCCGGGCCUU